UACGUAGGGUGCAAGCGUUGUCCGGAAUUAUUGGGCGUAAAGAGCUCGUAGGCGGUCUGUCGCGUCGGCUGUGAAAUCCCGGGGCUCAACUCCGGGCUUGCAUUCGAUACGGGCAGGCUAGAGUUCGGUAGGGGAGUCUGGAAUUCCUGGUGUAGCGGUGAAAUGCGCAGAUAUCAGGAGGAACACCGGUGGCGAAGGCGGGACUCUGGGCCGAUACUGACGCUGAGGAGCGAAAGCGUGGGGAGCGAACAGG
rnacentral:rRNA from 1 species